rnacentral:rRNA from 1 species
GGCGGACGGGUGAGUAAUGUCUGGGAAACUGCCUGAUGGAGGGGGGAUAACUACUGGAAACGGUAGCUAAUACCGCAUAACGUCGCAAGACCAAAGAGGGGGACCUUCGGGCCUCUUGCCAUCGGAUGUGCCCAGAUGGGAUUAGCUAGUAGGUGGGGUAAAGGCUCACCUAGGCGACGAUCCCUAGCUGGUCUGAGAGGAUGACCAGCCACACUGGAACUGAGGCACGGUCCAGACUCCUACGGGAGGCAGCAUG